rnacentral:rRNA from 1 species
CUACAGGCUUAACACAUGCAAGUCGAGGGGCAGCAUGGUCUUAGCUUGCUAAGGCCGAUGGCGACCGGCGCACGGGUGAGUAACGCGUAUCCAACCUGCCUUACACUCUUGGACAGCCUUCUGAAAGGGAGAUUAAUACAAGAUGUUAUCAUGAGUAAGCAUUUUCGCAUGAUUAAAGGUUUACCGGUGUAAGAUGGGGAUGCGUUCCAUUAGAUAGUAGGCGGGGUAACGGCCCACCUAGUCUUCGAUGGAUAGGGGUUCUGAGAGGAAGGUCCCCCACAUUGGAACUGAGACACGGUCCAAACUCCUACGGGAGGCAGCAGUGAGGAAUAUUGGUCAAUGGGCGAGAGCCUGAACCAGCCAAGUAGCGUGAAGGAUGACUGCCCUAUGGGUUGUAAACUUCUUUUAUAAAGGAAUAAAGUCGGGUAUGCAUACCCGUUUGCAUGUACUUUAUGAAUAAGGAUCGGCUAACUCCGUGCCAGCAGCCGCGGUAAUACGGAGGAUCCGAGCGUUAUCCGGAUUUAUUGGGUUUAAAGGGAGCGUAGAUGGAUGUUUAAGUCAGUUGUGAAAGUUUGCGGCUCAACCGUAAAAUUGCAGUUGAUACUGGAUAUCUUGAGUGCAGUUGAGGCAGGCGGAAUUCGUGGUGUAGCGGUGAAAUGCUUAGAUAUCACGAAGAACUCCGAUUGCGAAGGCAGCCUGCUAAGCUGCAACUGACAUUGAGGCUCGAAAGUGUGGGUAUCAAACAGGAUUAGGUACCCUGGUAGUCCACACGGUAAACGAUGAAUACUCGCUGUUUGCGAUAUACAGCAAGCGGCCAAGCGAAAGCGUUAAGUAUUCCACCUGGGGAGUACGCCGGCAACGGUGAAACUCAAAGGAAUUGACGGGGGCCCGCACAAGCGGAGGAACAUGUGGUUUAAUUCGAUGAUACGCGAGGAACCUUACCCGGGCUUAAAUUGCAGAUGAAUUACGGUGAAAGCCGUAAGCCGCAAGGCAUCUGUGAAGGUGCUGCAUGGUUGUCGUCAGCUCGUGCCGUGAGGUGUCGGCUUAAGUGCCAUAACGAGCGCAACCCUUGUUGUCAGUUACUAACAGGUCAUGCUGAGGACUCUGACAAGACUGCCAUCGUAAGAUGUGAGGAAGGUGGGGAUGACGUCAAAUCAGCACGGCCCUUACGUCCGGGGCUACACACGUGUUACAAUGGGGGGUACAGAGGGCCGCUACCACGCGAGUGGAUGCCAAUCCCAAAAACCUCUCUCAGUUCGGACUGGAGUCUGCAACCCGACUCCACGAAGCUGGAUUCGCUAGUAAUCGCGCAUCAGCCACGGCGCGGUGAAUACGUUCCCGGGCCUUGUACACACCGCCCGUCAAGCCAUGGGAGCCGGGGGUACCUGAAGUGCGUAACCGCGAGGAGCGCCCUAGGGUAAAACUGGUGACUGGGGCUAAG